UGGGGAAUAUUGGACAAUGGGCGCAAGCCUGAUCCAGCCAUGCCGCGUGUGUGAAGAAGGCCUUUUGGUUGUAAAGCACUUUAAGCGAGGAGGAGGCUACUUGGAUUAAUACUCUAGGAUAGUGGACGUUACUCGCAGAAUAAGCACCGGCUAACUCUGUGCCAGCAGCCGCGGUAAUACAGAGGGUGCGAGCGUUAAUCGGAUUUACUGGGCGUAAAGCGUGCGUAGGCGGCUUUUUAAGUCGGAUGUG
rnacentral:rRNA from 1 species